rnacentral:rRNA from 1 species
GAUGAACGCUGGCGGCGUGCCUAACACAUGCAAGUCGAGCGAGGGUUUGCUCAGUAUUGAGUAUUCUAAGACUAGAAUGUUCAAUUCUGAGCAAAACCAAGCGGCGGACGGGUGAGUAACGCGUGGGUAACCUGCCCUAUACACAUGGAUAACAUACUGAAAAGUUUACUAAUACAUGAUAAUAUAUAUUUGCGGCAUCGCAGAUAUAUCAAAGUGUUAGCGGUAUAGGAUGGACCCGCGUCUGAUUAGCUAGUUGGUGAGAUAACUGCCCACCAAGGCGACGAUCAGUAGCCGACCUGAGAGGGUGAUCGGCCACAUUGGAACUGAGACACGGCCCAGACUCCUACGGGAGGCAGCAGUAGGGAAUUUUCGGCAAUGGGGGAAACCCUGACCGAGCAACGCCGCGUGAGUGAUGACGGCCUUCGGGUUGUAAAGCUCUGUUGUAAGGGAAGAACGGUAGAUAGAGAAUAUCUAAGUGACGGUACCUUACCAGAAAGCCACGGCUAACUACGUGCCAGCAGCCGCGGUAAUACGUAGGUGGCGAGCGUUAUCCGGAAUUAUUGGGCGUAAAGGGUGCGUAGGCGGCCUGUUAAGUAAGUGGUUAAAUUGUUGGGCUCAACCCAAUCCAGCCACUUAAACUGGCAGGCUAGAGUAUUGGAGAGGCAAGUGGAAUUCCAUGUGUAGCGGUAAAAUGCGUAGAUAUAUGGAGGAACACCAGUGGCGAAGGCGGCUUGCUAGCCAAAGACUGACGCUCAUGCACGAAAGCGUGGGGAGCAAAUAGG